rnacentral:rRNA from 1 species
CCUACGGGUGGCAGCAGUAGGGAAUCUUCCACAAUGGACGAAAGUCUGAUGGAGCAACGCCGCGUGAGUGAAGAAGGGUUUCGGCUCGUAAAGCUCUGUUGGUAGUGAAGAAAGAUAGAGGUAGUAACUGGCCUUUAUUUGACGGUAAUUACUUAGAAAGUCACGGCUAACUACGUGCCAGCAGCCGCGGUAAUACGUAGGUGGCAAGCGUUGUCCGGAUUUAUUGGGCGUAAAGCGAGUGCAGGCGGUUCAAUAAGUCUGAUGUGAAAGCCUUCGGCUCAACCGGAGAAUUGCAUCAGAAACUGUUGAACUUGAGUGCAGAAGAGGAGAGUGGAACUCCAUGUGUAGCGGUGGAAUGCGUAGAUAUAUGGAAGAACACCAGUGGCGAAGGCGGCAUGCCGGCUUCCGACUGACGCUGAAGCACGAAAGCGUGGGGAUCGAACAGGAUUAGAUACCCCAGUAUC